UACGGAGGGUGCAAACGUUGCUCGGAAUCAUUGGGCGUAAAGCGCGUGUAGGCGGACGGGGACGUCGGUCGCUGAAAUCCCCCGGCUCAACCGGGGAACGGGCGCCGAAACGCCCCGUCUCGAGGGACGUAGGGGGACCUGGAACUUCCGGUGGAGCGGUGAAAUGCGUUGAGAUCGGAAGGAACGCCCGUGGCGAAAGCGAGGUCCUGGACGUCUACUGACGCUGAGACGCGAAAGCGAGGGGAGCGAACGGG
rnacentral:rRNA from 1 species